GGGGAAAAGCGGAAAGCAGAGAGAAGGGUUCGAUUUCGUGAGCCAGAAGUCAUUGAACAUGCCAUUUCCUGCUGUGACUACGUAGUGGUAGAUGACAGGUCAUCAUCUGGAUUGCCUGUGCUCCUGUGGCUCUCAUUUUGUGCAGUGCUGAUCCUAGCUGUGAGUCUCUACUACACCAGCAUGAAGCAAGAUGUCAAAGUCCUGGAGGAAUUUCAAUCCCGACUUGUUAUCUUCUUUCUUCAGAUAAGACAUGUUGCUCAGAAAUGCUGGACUUGGUUUAUGAGGCAGUAGCGAUGUCCUCCAGCCUGACAGACAUCUCAGAGCACUGCUA
rnacentral:lncRNA from 1 species